CUUACUGAAUUCUGCCUGAUUCGUAGUACCAUGGACUUUCUUUUCCCAGAAUUACCGGGAGGCAGAUCUUUCCGACUACAGGGACUUUUAGAACUUGCUUCGGAUAUCCGAUUUCCACCAAGGUGAGUAGCUUCUGAUGCUCUUCUUUGGAUAUCUGAUCUUUUUUUAAUUCUUCGGUUCCUUCUUCUUCCCCAUGGUCUCUCUCUUCAGUUCACCAAACUGUUGGGUUUCUGAGUUGCCAUUGUCUUCGAUUUGACUUCUAUUUAUAAGAAUAUUUAAUACUCUUAUAAUCUUAUUAUAAAUUAACGUUUAAUAAAAUUUUACAAAAACCUACAAAACUAAGAAUAUGUGAACCGAUAGAACUACUCUUCCUCAUCAAAGUCCAAGAGGAAAUCAGUUAAGUUUUCAGAGUCAUCUAUGGCAUCAUCUAUAGACAUCUUUCCAUCCUUGUUUGAUUUGUCCUGAAAGAAGAAGAAGAAUAAACAGAAACUUUAAAAUAAUGAAUAACCAACUUUAAACUUUUAAGUUUUGAACCUAAUGAACCAACAUCAAAAACUACGUACCUUUGUUUUCUUGUUAAGUUGAGGAGUGCUUUUUAAAACACUCCAGUUGCGAGUUAUUUUCUCUUCCGCCUUUUUAACUCCAUCUUCUACAUCCAAUUCACCUUCAUCCUCAUCCUAAUUAUUCAUCCCAGAAUAUAAUUCAGCUAAGUUAGUGACUUAUAUGAUUAAUUGAUUGCAAGUAGAAAUAUUGAUAAGUUAGGAAUACAACUCACAUCACUCUCUCCAAUGUCGACAGCACUUGCCAUGGCUUCAUCUGUAUCUGUAACCUGUUUUGAAAACAGAUGCAUUAGCAAUCUACAUUUUACAGUCACAAUGACAAAGGUAAAUGAAAGAAACAAGGUAACAUAUAAUUUUAAAGGUAAUAUAUCAUUUUAAUUACCUCAAGCUCCUCGUGUUUUUCAUUGUCCAAUAGCUUGUCAAGGUCAUUCCUAGAUAUCAUGUGUCCAUGCUGAAAAAGAAAAAACACUUGUUAGUAAGAAAUUACUCUUUGAUUCAUCAACUUCAAAUGGUAAUGUUUUGAUAAAAUGAAUCUCAGAAAUAGUACUGUUCAGACUUACUUCCAAAAGAAAAGACAACAUGUUGGGAGUUGGCUCGUGAAAAUCUGCACCUCUGAAGUCAGUAACUUCAUUU
rnacentral:lncRNA from 1 species